GUCGACGUAUAUGUCUGGCAUGUAUCCGUAUAAGACGGGUAUGCAGCAUAUUGUUCUAGGAGGUCGACAGAGCUUUUGUCUACCACUAGAACUACGAACGCUACCCCAACAGUUGAAAGAAGUAGGGUAUGCAACCCAUGCAGUUGGAAAGUGGAAUUUAGGAUUUUGUAACUUGAAGUGUAUUCCGACUUAUCGAGGCUUUGAUUCAUUCUUAGGAUAUUACAACACCCAAGAAGAUUAUUACAAUCACACGUUUGGUGGUUAUUUGGAUUUACACGAUGGAGAGCGAGUUGCUAGAGAAUAUGAUGGACAAUACUCCACAGUAAGAAAACAUGACGCUGGCUUAUAUUUUAUUUCUGUUAUUAAAAUGUAUGUUAUUGAAAGAGAACUCUCGUGGCAACUUACAAACGAAUUCGCUGAAAUGAAAACGCAAAUUCAUUACAAAUG